UACAGAGGUCCCAAGCGUUGUUCGGAUUCACUGGGCGUAAAGGGUGCGUAGGCGGCUUGUUAAGUCAGGGGUGAAAGUUUUCGGCCCAACCGGAAAAUUGCCUUUGAUACUGGCGAGCUUGAGUGCGUGAGGGGUAACCGGAACGAGUGGUGUAGCGGUGAAAUGCGUAGAUAUCACUCGGAAGGCCAAAGGCGAAGGCAGGUUACUGGUACGCAACUGACGCUGAGGCACGAAAGCGUGGGGAGCAAACAGG
rnacentral:rRNA from 1 species